rnacentral:rRNA from 1 species
GUUGUGGGGGAUAACUAGUCGAAAGAUUAGCUAAUACCGCAUACGMCCYGAGGGUGAAAGCGGGGGACCGCAAGGCCUCGCGCAAUAGGAGCGGCCGAUGUCUGAUUAGCUAGUUGGUGGGGUAAAGSCCUACCAAGGCGACGAUCAGUAGCUGGUCUGAGAGGACGAUCAGCCACACUGGGACUGAGACMCGSCCCAGACUCCUACGGGAGGCAGCAGUGGGGAAUUUUGGACAAUGGGGGCAACCCUGAUCCAGCAAUGCCGCGUGUGUGAAGAAGGCCUUCGGGUUGUAAAGCACUUUUGUCCGGAAAGAAAUCGCGCUGGCUAAUACCUGGCGUGGAUGACGGUACCGGAAGAAUAAGCACCGGCUAACUACGUGCCAGCAGCCGCGGUAAUACGUAGGGUGCGAGCGUUAAUCGGAAUUACUGGGCGUAAAGCGUGCGCAGGCGGUUUUGUAAGACAGGCGUGAAAUCCCCGAGCUCAACUUGGGAAUGGCGCUUGUGACUGCAAGGCUAGAGUAUGUCAGAGGGGGGUAGAAUUCCACGUGUAGCAGUGAAAUGCGUAGAGAUGUGGAGGAAUACCGAUGGCGAAGGCAGCCCCCUGGGACGUCACUGACGCUCAUGCACGAAAGCGUGGGGAGCAAACAGGAUUAGAUACCCUGGUAGUCCACGCCCUAAACGAUGUCAACUAGUUGUUGGGGAUUCAUUUCCUCAGUAACGUAGCUAACGCGUGAAGUUGACCGCCUGGGGAGUACGGUCGCAAGAUUAAAACUCAAAUGAAUUGACGGGG